rnacentral:lncRNA from 1 species
GCCCCUCCUGCUUACACGCUUAGUCAUAAUUACUUACCUCAGCGGCACCAGCCGUGUGGUAGGAGCUUAGCUGAACAGAGAGGAGAAUCAGCAGGCACAUCACCUUGAGUUUGACCUGUCAGCCAGAUUUCACAGCACCUGCCUGGUUAGCCCGAGGGCUGUGAUUCACCCCCUCAGGAAAGGAGCUGUGAGGUCCUGUCCUGGAGCAGAAACCCCUCCUGGAGGAUAGUUGGAGAGAUAGUGAUGAAUCAGGCAUCUCUAGCUAUUAGCAUGCCUGCCAUGCUCGCCCCACGUGUGGAAGGCUACCAGGAAGAGGAGAUGGCAGGCUUGUUAAAGGAGAGAAAAAUGAGGGCCUUUUCAUGAGGUCAGGUGACUUCUGAGGUUGGAUCAGCUGGCCAGAAGCAGUAGACAUGUCCAGCUUCCGAAGACAAAAUCACAGAAUUAUGGUGGAGCCCUCCCAUAGGAGGGGCACUAGAGGAUACUCAAGGAAGUUCUUCAGUACCCCUGCAAAGCAUUGACUUGACGGUCGUUGAACACAGUUUUAUUGGCCAGAGGAAAACAAAAAAGAGCCUUGCAUGUGGUGGUAAACUGAGCUACCAGCUUCCCUGCACCAGUGCCCAGCCUGAAGCUUGUUCUCCAGGAAUCAUAGUGAUGAGCCCAGUCUGCAGCCUGUUAACCAACUGGUUCCUGAGGAAUGGAGGUCAGGUCAUCCUCAUCUUGAGGAUAUGGACACAGGAGACAUUAGCCCACCGAAGAUAACGUUCCAAGGAGGAACUAAAAGAAGCACUUGGCUCCUGCGGAGCCCCAGCCAGGCACAGCCUUCUGCUAUAUCCCCAGACCUCAGUUCUCCAUGAACUCUCUAUGCCCAGUGCCUUGUAUGCC